UACGGAGGGUGCAAGCGUUGUCCGGAUUUAUUGGGUUUAGAGGGUGCGUAGGCGGUCUGGUAAGUCGGAGAUGAAAGCCCGGGGCUCAACCGUGGAACUGUCGUCGAUACUGUCGGACUUGAGUAUGUUGGAGGCUGGCGGAAUGGGCGGUGUAGCGGUGAAAUGCAUAGAUACCGUCCAGAACCCCGAUUGCGAAGGCAGCCGGCUGUGCCAUUACUGACGCUGAGGCACGAAAGCGUGGGGAGCGAACAGG
rnacentral:rRNA from 1 species